rnacentral:lncRNA from 1 species
UUAAAAGUAGAUUCGCGGGUUUUACAAAAAAUAUCAUUGUUUUUCAGUGAAGAACAACACGAGACAAUAAUGUUACACUGCAUGGAACUAUGUAUUGCAAGGUGUUUCACUUUUUCCAAGUGAUAAGAGAAAUUCCAAAAAAAACAAUCUAAUGUCUUUAAAAAUAGAUGUAAUGACCCGUUUUUGCCAGGCGACCAAGAAUCAAAUAAUAAAAAACCAAAUAAAAGCCCAAAAUUAAACAGUCCAUUAUAACAAAAUUAAACCAAAAUUCCAACCCAAUAGUAAAAAACCCGAAGCCCAAUUAAUAGGCCUACAGCCUAAACAAUUUCAGCAGAAAAAAAGAAGCCUUGGAACCCUAGCGGCACGCCUUGCUGCAGUAGCCUCGCAAGCCUCUGCCGCCGCCUGCAUCCACGCAUCUAACAUCUUCAAAACGAAGAACAACACGCAACAAUGAAUAAUCCAAAUAGCAAGACGACAAAAAAAUAGAGAUUAACAGUUCUAAUCGGCUAUAAAAGGCCAAAGAUCAUCACUGUAAUCCUUCUUCCCCUUUUACGAACAUUUUCAGAAAAUAAAAAAAAGGCAUUUACGGUGACUUACAUUAUUCUGUUUCAGAUCUGUUUUUAUUUUUUUUUAUUUUUUUUCUUUUUUUUUCUCUAUUCUGAAUAUAUAAACAAAGGUAAAAAAAGAAAGGGAAAGGGACUCACCGGAGUGGAUACGUGCCCUCGUCGUCGGAGGGUUUCUCCAUUGGUGACGAAACCCGUCGUUGAAAGGGCUGAUAGUUUUUUUUAUUUUUUUGGGUGCUUUAAGGCCAGAUUCGGGUUAAAGGGUCAAAAAUAGGAUUAAAAAAAAAACAUUUUUACCUUUGCCGGCAACCGUACACGGCGGCGCCGAAGACCGACACGGUGGCCCUCGGUCGGGACCUUAGGCCGGAUAGGGGUUCUUUCUUUUUCUUUUGAGAGAAAAGGGGAGCUUUGAAUUUUGUUUUUAACAAAUGGCUGAAAUGGGGUUUCAAAAAAAAUAAAUUGGCUUUUAUAAUACUACAAAACGGCGCCGUUUUGCAACUGCAGGUCAGGUGCCAAACGACGUCGUUUUAGCCCUGACCCGUGCGCGACCCGACCCGCCUUGAAGGCAUCCGCGCGUUUUCUUCUAAGGGGAUAUUUUCGAAAUAAGUCCCUUCAUCUUUUACGCGUUCAAUGUAGUUUCUUUUCUUUUUCAACUUCGGC